rnacentral:tRNA from 1 species
UGGAGAUGUAGCUCAGUGGUAGAGUGCUUGCCUCGCAUGCUCAAGGCUCAGAGAUCAAUUCUCAGUACUAA